rnacentral:snoRNA from 1 species
GGGGGCCAUACUGAAGUUGAGAUGUUAACUCUGAUACAAUCGUCCGAUAUCAAUCUUGUAAUUUUUCCUGCUUGCAGUUUUGAAAUAAAGUUCUACAAGUCUCAAAAUUACAGGACAUUUGA